UCACGGAGAGUUUGAUCCUGGCUCAGGACGAACGCUGGCGGCGUGCUUAACACAUGCAAGUCGAACGAUGAACCACUUCGGUGGGGAUUAGUGGCGAACGGGUGAGUAACACGUGGGCAAUCUGCCCUUCACUCUGGGACAAGCCCUGGAAACGGGGUCUAAUACCGGAUACGACACUCUCGGGCAUCCGAUGAGUGUGGAAAGCUCCGGCGGUGAAGGAUGAGCCCGCGGCCUAUCAGCUUGUUGGUGAGGUAACGGCUCACCAAGGCGACGACGGGUAGCCGGCCUGAGAGGGCGACCGGCCACACUGGGACUGAGACACGGCCCAGACUCCUACGGGAGGCAGCAGUGGGGAAUAUUGCACAAUGGGCGAAAGCCUGAUGCAGCGACGCCGCGUGAGGGAUGACGGCCUUCGGGUUGUAAACCUCUUUCAGCAGGGAAGAAGCGAAAGUGACGGUACCUGCAGAAGAAGCGCCGGCCAACUACGUGCCAGCAGCCGCGGUAAUACGUAGGGCGCGAGCGUUGUCCGGAAUUAUUGGGCGUAAAGAGCUCGUAGGCGGUCUGUCGCGUCGGAUGUGAAAGCCCGGGGCUUAACCCCGGGUCUGCAUUCGAUACGGGCAGACUAGAGUGUGGUAGGGGAGAUCGGAAUUCCUGGUGUAGCGGUGAAAUGCGCAGAUAUCAGGAGGAACACCGGUGGCGAAGGCGGAUCUCUGGGCCAUUACUGACGCUGAGGAGCGAAAGCGUGGGGAGCGAACAGGAUUAGAUACCCUGGUAGUCCACGCCGUAACGGUGGGAACUAGUGUUGGCGACAUUCCACGUCGUCGGUGCCGCAGCUAACGCAUUAAGUUCCCCGCCUGGGGAGUACGGCCGCAAGGCUAAAACUCAAAGAAUUGACGGGGGCCCGCACAAGCAGCGGAGCAUGUGGCUUAAUUCGACGCAACGCGAAGAACCUUACCAGGGCUUGACAUACACCGGAAACGGCCAGAGAUGGUCGCCCCCUUGUGGUCGGUGUACAGGUGGUGCACGGCUGUCGUCAGCUCGUGUCGUGAGAUGUUGGGUUAAGUCCCGCAACGAGCGCAACCCUUGUUCUGUGUUGCCAGCAUGCCCUUCGGGGUGAUGGGGACUCACAGGAGACUGCCGGGGUCAACUCGGAGGAAGGUGGGGACGACGUCAAGUCAUCAUGCCCCUUAUGUCUUGGGCUGCACACGUGCUACAAUGGCAGGUACAAUGAGCUGCGAAGCCGUGAGGCGGAGCGAAUCUCAAAAAGCCUGUCUCAGUUCGGAUUGGGGUCUGCAACUCGACCCCAUGAAGUCGGAGUUGCUAGUAAUCGCAGAUCAGCAUUGCUGCGGUGAAUACGUUCCCGGGCCUUGUACACACCGCCCGUCACGUCACGAAAGUCGGUAACACCCGAAGCCGGUGGCCCAACCCGUAAGGGAGGGAGCUGUCGAAGGUGGGACUGGCGAUUGGGACGAAGUCGUAACAAGGUAGCCGUACCGGAAGGUGCGGCUGGAUCACCUCCUUUCUAAGGGCGAAUUCUGCAGA
rnacentral:rRNA from 1 species